GAGGCUCUCUCUAUAAAAGGAUAGUGGGCAGGGGUCUGUGAAGAGAGGGCUCAUGAGGGAGGAAAGAACCUCUGUUGUAUGAAUUAGAUGAGAAAACAAGAUAUUCUUUUUAAGAAAUUCAGUGAAUUUCUACAAGUACAGGAAAUACAGAAGCUGAGGCAGCCACAAGCGGGAUGGGGAUCGGUUCCUUUAAAAAUCAGGACAAGUUUAUAUCAAUGAGCUACAGACAAAAAACAGGGGUGGUGCAGUAACCGCGAAGUAGCAUUCCAUGGAAACCUUCACUUUACGAGGCCUGCUUAGCAAUGCUAUGCUAUGGGAUAAGAAACCCAUCCAUCAGGGAAGAAUAAUCAGAUGAAUGUUUUAUGGCUGAUUGUUUUAUUGUUAACUGUUGAUGCGAGUUGCCUUGAACAUUU